GACUUGGCAGCGUAUUGUCCACAUUUGUUUAGUAGCGAACUAGUUAAUCCAGUACCGUGACUUUUAUGAGGUGCAUUGCGGCAUGGCUCUGCGUACAUACAACGGGCACACUGCAUACGUCACCCGUGUCCGUUGUGAGCCUUCCGGCGGAGUUUCCUUUGCCACUGAUUCAUUCAUCAAUGAAUUUCUAUUGUGGUUUGUCGUGGUUCCGGACCGGACCUACGGUGCUUGCUGCCUAGCCGUCUGACUCAUGGUCUGUUUCAGUUGCAAGUUGCUCGCGUGUCAACCGCCGACAUCCGAAGCAUUUCCUCAUUGUCGCACGCGUUGAUAUGCUGUCCAGCCGCACAGUGCACGUCAGUCAAGCAAGCUGUUACUUUUUGCUUAAUUUUAUGUAUGUUCAUGUCUACAAGACUUGCAUCGAAAUCAACGUACCUUUUUCUUAUACAGGAUAUGACACACACGUGAUGCUCAUGAAUGUACAAUUUUGUGCUUUAUAUGGAGUAGAAUAAAAUCUUUAUUACAGUGUGUGACUAUAAUUUGGUGUAAACAUUGUAAUAAACUUCUUCAAUCUUGUUGCCAAAUAACAACCUCUAACAAUGUUAAAUAACUAAGUUUUUAGGCUGUGUUUGAAACACCCAUUUUAUUAUGUUAUGUAAUUAUUAUCAAUGUGAAAAUUUAUAAAGAUGUUUGUAAGAUUUAUUUCAUUUAUCCUGGAAUAACAAGUGUCAAAUUAUUACAUUAUAACUUAGUUAUUCGUAUGCCGACAAUUAAUUUUUACGAGAUAAAUUUCACCAUAUUAUAUUACCUGUAG